rnacentral:rRNA from 1 species
ACGCUCGACACCUACGGGAGGCAGCAGUUAGGAAUAUUGGGCAAUGGAGGAAACUCUGACCCAGCAACGCCGCGUGAAGGAAGAAGGUUUUCGGAUUGUAAACUUCUGAUCUAGGGGAAGAAGGAAGUGACGGUACCCUAGGAGAAAGCCACGGCUAACUACGUGCCAGUAGCCGCGGUAAUCUGAGCGGGCUGGCAAGGC